UCAAAUAUUGAGUUUCAUUGCUCAAUAUGACUAUAUCAAAAGUUUGUUAGAAAGGAAAGAAUCCGUUAGAGUAUUUUAGGGGUUAAAUCCUCUAUCAAGGAUCCCUAAUUUAUUUGUUUCCUUUUUGAUAUUACUUUCCUUGUACAUUCCCUUUCCAUCCCUAUAAAAGGGAGUGAUGUAAUGCUCAAAAAAAUACACAGAAAUACAAUACAAAAACAAUUCUUUAGAGCUCCACCAAUAUGUCUCUAAACUAUUAUGCCAACCUUGUUCCAACCUUUUUUUUAUGCCAAAACAGUAGCCGUAUCCUAGUCCUUUUUCCCUGAAACAAAAAUCAAACAAAAUGUCAGGGGAAAUCCAGAUUACAGAAACCAAAAAUUCUUCAGAAGAGUUAACUCUUCAAAUUGCAAAUCUAGUUCGGAA
rnacentral:lncRNA from 1 species